rnacentral:rRNA from 1 species
CCUACGGGUGGCAGCAGUGAGGAAUAUUGGUCAAUGGGCGCAAUCCUGAACCAGCCAUGUCGCGUGCAGGACGACGGCUCUACGAGUUGUAAACUUCUUUUGUACCGGGAUAAACUGCCUUACGUGUAGGGUUUUGUAAGUACUGUACGAAUAAGGAUCGGCUAACUCCGUGCCAGCAGCCGCGGUAAUACGGAGGAUCCGAGCGUUAUCCGGAUUCGUUGGGUUUAAAGGGAGCGUAGGUUGUUUUAUAAGUUAGCUGUGAACUACUGCUGCUCAACAUUGGGGCUGCCACUAAUACUGGAGGACUAGAGAACGGAUGCAGCAGGCGGAAUGUGUAGUGUAGCGGUGAAAUGCAUAGAUAUUACACAGAACACCGAUUGCGAAGGCAGCUUGCUAGGCCGGAUCUGACACUGAUGCACGAAAGCGUGGGGAUCGAACAGGAUUAGAUACCCCAGUAGUC